rnacentral:rRNA from 1 species
AGAGGUGCCGAGCGUUAGGCGGAAUCAGCUGGGCUUAAAGCGUGUGUAGGCGGACCGUUAAGUGUCUUGUGGAAAUCCCCACGGCUCAACCGUGGAACGGCUGGGCAUACUGGCGGUCUUGAGAGGCCUAGGGGCGAGCGGAACAGGCGGUGGAGCGGUGAAAUGCGUAGAUAUCGCCUGGAACGCCGACGGUGAAACAGCUCGCUGGGG